UCUGCUUUAUUGUUCAGGCAUAUUAGCAUCAUGUAUAGAUUUGUUACUAUAUGCAGCUUAUUCUUUCUAUUAUACCUGAGUUAGCCCUAGUGGGAAAGUCGGUGAUGUUGAGGCCGAACCCACUGGGAACUUUGUUGUAGUUCUCACCCCACUAUUUCCACAGAGCUGGGACCGAGUGAGCCGGCGAGCGACCGAGGUAAAGGUAUUGCGCCUUAGUCAGAGGCCACCAAAGUUGGGUUUCAUUUUGUCGUAAAUGAUCAUCUUUUGUACAUGAUGGUAAAUAAUGUAAAGAAAAGAAUGUAAUGUGUAUUUUGAGGUAAAUGUGAUGUAAGAAAGAAAUGAUGAAAUGAAAUGUAAGGAAUUCGAAAAUGAACAAGAUGAAUGCAAUGUAUAUGAUCAAAAAUGAAUCAUAGUACAAGUGAAUGUUU
rnacentral:lncRNA from 1 species